UGGGGAAUCUUGCGCAAUGGGCGAAAGCCUGACGCAGCAACGCCGCGUGCGGGAUGAAGGCCUUCGGGUUGUAAACCGCUUUUAACAGGAACGAAAAUGACGGUACCUGUAGAAUAAGGUGCGGCCAACUACGUGCCAGCAGCCGCGGUGACACGUAGGCACCAAGCGUUGUCCGGAUUUAUUGGGCGUAAAGAGCUCGUAGGCGGUUCAGUAAGUCGGGUGUGAAAACUCUGGGCUUAACCCAGAGACGCCACUCGAUACUACUGUGACUAGAGUUCGGUAGGGGAGCGGGGGAAUUCCUAGUGUAGCGGUGAAAUGCGCAGAUAUUAGGAGGAACACCGGUGGCGAAGGCGCCGCUCUGGGCCGAUACUGACGCUGAGGAGCGAAAGCGUGGGUAGCAAACAGGAUUAGAUACCCUGGUAGUCCACGCCGUAAACGGUGGGCACUAGGUGUGGGCUCCAACCAACGGAGUCCGCGCCGUCGCUAACGCAUUAAGUGCCCCGCCUGGGGAGUACGGCCGCAAGGUUAAAACUUAAAUGAAUUGACGGGGUCAUAGCUGUUUCCU
rnacentral:rRNA from 1 species